GGCGCCGGAGCACUGCCCUCUUGGGCGGGAAGUUUGAACGACGAUCCACCAGGGCGUCGGGCAGGUGGGGCGGCCCUACCGGGCGGGGUUCUGCAGGCCGGGGCAUGGUUUUAAGAACGUCUCCCCCCAACCUGGUAGCGGAUAUCCCUCCAAAUCUCUAGUACGGUACAUGGAAGGGGGUCCCGACGGCUCGGGCCCAGCGGCGGCCGUGCAGCCCGCCCCGGAGGAAGGCCCGGGGACCCCCAGCCCGUCGGGCUGUACCUCGCGGUACACCCGGCUCUGCUUUCUCAUGUAGACGUGGGCGAGCUCGCCCGAGGCCGCCAGCGAGUAGAUGUUGCUGGUAAAUGGUAGCCUCGAUGCCCCGGUUCAGAGAGGAGCGGAAAGAGCGUGGCCCCAAGAAGAACCCCUGCGCCCGGCUCAGCUCCCAGAGGGCCCGAAACUGGGACUGGAAAUCUCUGCCGCCUUGGGACCAGCUCGCCCUUCAGCCUCCCCGCACUCCCACUGGCCUGAUACCCCGGAUCUAUGGCCAUUAGCUAGUCCCAAUCGAGGGGCCCUUGCACUCCUCGGGACUGUAACUCCUGGAGUUGCCUGGCUCUGAACCUGCUGUGAGGAGGGGCCAGCGAAGAUAACCCAGAAUGGAUAUGGGACUUCAGGUGGAACACAGUGAUGCUGAGACACAAGGAGCAGAGGAAUAUCACCUGCUGGAUGGUUAAAGUUAGUCUCGCCUGAUUUCCCCAACAUCAUAAGGUUUGUAAUGUCUAGGCUGACCACAACUGUUACGCAGUUUUGGUACUCAGUUCAAAAGUGUCCCCCUUCCAUUAUUUAUUUUCAAAAAGGAUUAAUUUCUAUUUCAAAAAUAUCCUCCCAUUGACUUAAAGUAAGGAACAUUUUUUUAUUUGGCGUGCCCAGCUGUAUUUGCAGAGGAGACUUGGAGACCUGACCGACUAACAGCAUUGAUGAGAUGCCUUCUCCCCCAUCCGUACCAUCCCUUGGGCGACAGUAGGGAGGGAAUCUCAAAAAUCAUUGUACAUCUCUCAGAAUAAAGAUCCUUCCUUGUCA